GGUUGAUCCUGCCAGUAGUCAUAUGCUUGUCUCAAAGAUUAAGCCAUGCAUGUCUAAGUAUAAACAAGUUUAUACAGUGAAACUGCGUACAGCUCAUUAUAUCAGUUAUGAUUUAUUUGAUGGUACCUUACUACAUGGAUACCCGUAGUAAUUCUAGAGCUAAUACAUGCGUAAAAUCCCGACUACUUGUUGGAAGGGAUGUAUUUAUUAGAUUCAAACCCAAUGCAGUAGCAAUACUGGUUCAAUUGGUGACUCAUAGUAACUUGUCGAAUCGCAUGGCCUUGUGCUGGCG
rnacentral:rRNA from 1 species